UUGAAAGGGAAACGAUUGAAGUCAGUCGUACCGACGAGAAAUCAGCUCUUUGAGUGCGAACUUGUGGGCGUGCGUGAGUUUCGGCCUCGCUGUUUGCAUAUGUUUGUGCGCUUUGGGUGUACUUUUUCGUAUGGUAGGCCAACGUCAGUUUCGAUUAUCAUAAAAUGACCGGCGGAAUGUAGCUUCGACUUCGGUUGAAGUGUUAUAGCCUCUGGUAGAUGUGGUGAUUGGGACUGAGGAUUGCAACGAAUACCCUUUGGGCUAUCCGUCUGGCCUCUGAAAGUUGCUCAGGUGCCGAAAGCGUGCUUACGGUCAUCUAAGAUAACGUUCAACAGGUUAGAACGUGAUUACAUUCGUUAAGGAUGUUGACGUA
rnacentral:rRNA from 1 species